rnacentral:rRNA from 1 species
UACAGGGGGUGCAAACGUUGCUCGGAAUCAUUGGGCGUAAAGCGCACGUAGGCGGUUUGUUAUGUCGGAUGUGAAAGCCCUUGGCUCAACUAAGGAAGUGCAUCCGAAACUGGCAAGCUGGAGUACUAAAAGAGGGUCGCGGAAUUCCCGGUGUAGAGGUGAAAUUCGUAGAUAUCGGGAGGAACACCGGUGGCGAAGGCGGCGACCUGGGUAGAUACUGACGCUGAGGUGCGAAAGCGUGGGGAGCAACAGG